GACGAACGCUGGCGGCGUGCUUAACACAUGCAAGUCGAGCGGUAAGGCCCUUUCGGGGGUACACGAGCGGCGAACGGGUGAGUAACACGUGGGUGACCUGCCUCUAGCUCUGGGAUAAGCCUGGGAAGCUGGGUCUAAUACCGGAUAUGACCUCGCGGUGCAUGUUGCGGGGUGGAAAGCCUUGUGCGGCUAGGGAUGGGCCCGCGGCCUAUCAGCUUGUUGGUGGGGUGAUGGCCUACCAAGGCGACGACGGGUAGCCGGCCUGAGAGGGCGGCCGGCCACACUGGGACUGAGACACGGCCCAGACUCCUACGGGAGGCAGCAGUGGGGAAUCUUGCGCAAUGGGCGAAAGCCUGACGCAGCGACGCCGCGUGAGGGAUGACGGCCU
rnacentral:rRNA from 1 species